UUGGACGGCCAGAGGAGCCGGGUUCCACCCGUUCCCAUUCGAACACGGCAGUUAAACCGGCCUCCGUAUUGGGUUGUACUGCGAUACGCGGGAACCCCGAUAAGCUGUCCACC
rnacentral:rRNA from 1 species